GGACCAGAUGUUCUGCUCGGCUGUCAGGUAAGCGAGAUCGAGGCCCGACAGGAGGAGAAGAGGAAGCAGGAUCUGUGGCUGCUCCACUAGCUUCCCCGACUUUUACAGGAGCAGGAGGUAAAAUCUUCAAGGGUGGGACCUGCUGCACGAUGUUGGCCCGCUUUGCAGUAGGGGCAUCCUUACUCUGGUCCCUCUUCGUGGUUGGAGGUCGAGAACGUUAGGCAUGCAAAGGCUCACAAAGUCUCAAAGCCUGUUUUAUGGCGAGACAGAAGCCAAGCGUGCCAGGAUCUGCUCGACCGCGCGAAGGCGAGCCGAAUCCCAGGCAUUGAAGAAUCUUCAAAGGCAUGUGGGAAAACCAUGAGCAAAGCCGGAACCUGCUCGUCUAGACAAAGACAAGCAGAUUCUCAAACGAAAAUUAAUUCAUAAUUACAACACAAGAAAGUAAUCAAAAAACAUUUUUAUUAAUUUGUUAAUGAUUAACAGAGGGGAUAAUCUUCAUGAACAUUGUUCAUUACAAUACAAGAAAUAUAUCAAGAAGAUGGUGGAUCAGUAAGCCCAGCAGCAUCGGUUGGCUGGACCUCCUCAGGUGCAGGAGGGGUAUCACCAGUUGCGUCCGGGGGGGUGCUCGCCUCGCCAACAUCAGCAGGGAUUGCACGAGGAGGAGAGUCUUCCUCCUCAAUCACGAUCGGCUCUACCCCAUUGGCAUCUUCCUUAGCCGCCUCCUCGUCCAUAUGUUGAGCAACACCAGCUGCAAGGUCAUCCAUCUUCAGAUCAGGGUGUUGCUUCCCGAGGACGGCCAUGAUGCAACGAUAGGAAUGCCGAAGUCCCUGGUCGUACUGGUUGUCGGCCUCCCUCUCCAAGUUCUCGACCUGAGCUCGGUGGGAGUCGCGAAGAGAUUCGAGCUGAGCCUCAUACAUUGCCUUCUGCCUUUGCAGAUCCUCCCUGACCUUGAUAAGCUCCUCCUCGAGGGUGAUGGCUUUUGCUUGAGCAAGUGAUUCUUGCUCUAUCAGCUUCAGAUUCUCGAGAUUCAGCUCCCCUGCUUUCUUCUCGGCAACGUCAGCUCUGGUCGUCGCCGAUUGAAUAUCCUCCUUCAUCUUCCGGUCGUAGCGGCCAACCUUAGCCUUGUAAUAGGUAGUCAUGCAGCUGAGGUGGAAAGCGCUAUGCUGCAUGGCCCCCACUAGCUCACCCAAGGUGCGGCCGUCAAAGUCCUCCAGAUCCUUCUUGCUCACGAGUUUAGUUAACUCAUUGAGGUAGGGGACCAGGUGUUCUGCUCGGCUGUCAGAUAAGCGAGAUCGAGGCCCGACAGGAGGAGAAGAGGAAGCAGGAUCUGUGGCUGCUCCACUAGCUUCCCCGACUUUUACAGGAGCAGGAGGUAAAAUCUUCAAGGGUGGGACCUGCUGCACGAUGUUGGCCCGCUUUGCAGCAGGGGCAUCCUUACUCUGGUCCCUCUUCGU
rnacentral:lncRNA from 1 species